AGUCAGCAGAAUAGUUGAGUAUUUGGAGUUAACUACAGGUGUCCAGUUCACCUCAGCCAAUACAGUUUUGCAUGCUUAUCUUCAUUUUGAAGCUCUAACAGACCAUGAAUAUCAGUAUUCAUGUGUGACCUAUGGUGACCAUCCGCUUGUGGUCAUAAUGGACCUUCACAAGAAGGCAUCUUUUCAUCUGUCAGUGAGUGACCUUGCACAACCUCCAGAAGAUUUUAAUGGAGAUGUGGAUUCAGAACAGUUUUGGAAGGCACUGACAGUGGAAAGAAUCGCUUGUGGAUUUGUUUCAAGUCAAAAAUCAAUCCAUACUGUUGAUAGGCCCAAUGGAUAGGGAGAAACACUCAGAAAUGUUCUUAAUACAGAAUUU